rnacentral:rRNA from 1 species
CUGGUUGAUCCUGCCAGUAGUCAUAUGCUUGUCUCAAAGAUUAAGCCAUGCAUGUCUAAGUGUAAAUACGUCUACACUGUGAAACUGCGAAUGGCUCAUUAAAUCAGUUAUCGUUUAUUUGAUGAUCUCUUGUUACAUGGAUAACCGUAGUAAUUCUAGAGCUAAUACAUGCGUCAAGCCCCGACUCACGAAGGGGUGUAUUUAUUAGAUUCAAAACCAACCGUGGUACCCCCACGUCCCUUGGUGAUUCAUAAUAACUUGUCGAACCGCAUGACCUUGCGUUGGCGGUGAUUCAUUCAAA